rnacentral:tRNA from 1 species
AAAAAAUUAGUUAAAAUAAAUAUAACAUUAAUAUGUCAUAUUAAUAUUAUUAGUUUAAUCUAAUAUUUUUUG